AGAGUUUGAUCCUGGCUCAGGAUGAACGCUGGCGGCGUGCCUAAUACAUGCAAGUCGAGCGAACGGACGAGAAGCUUGCUUCUCUGAUGUUAGCGGCGGACGGGUGAGUAACACGUGGAUAACCUACCUAUAAGACUGGGAUAACUUCGGGAAACCGUAGCUAAUACCGGAUGAUAUUUUGAACCGCAUGGUUCAAAAGUGAAAGACGGUCUUGCUGUCACUUAUAGAUGGAUCCGCGCUGCAUUAGCUAGUUGGUAAGGUAACGGCUUACCGAGGCAACGAUGCAUAGCCGACCUGAGAGGGUGAUCGGCCACACUGGAACUGAGACACGGUCCAGACUCCUACGGGAGGCAGCAGUAGGGAAUCUUCCGCAAUGGGCGAAAGCCUGACGGAGCAACGCCGCGUGAGUGAUGAAGGUCUUCGGAUCGUAAAACUCUGUUAUUAGGGAAGAACAUAUGUGUAAGUAACUGUGCACAUCUUGACGGUACCUAAUCAGAAAGCCACGGCUAACUACGUGCCAGCAGCCGCGGUAAUACGUAGGUGGCAAGCGUUAUCCGGAAUUAUUGGGCGUAAAGCGCGCGUAGGCGGUUUUUUAAGUCUGAUGUGAAAGCCCACGGCUCAACCGUGGAGGGUCAUUGGAAACUGGAAAACUUGAGUGCAGAAGAGGAAAGUGGAAUUCCAUGUGUAGCGGUGAAAUGCGCAGAGAUAUGGAGGAACACCAGUGGCGAAGGCGACUUUCUGGUCUGUAACUGACGCUGAUGUGCGAAAGCGUGGGGAUCAAACAGGAUUAGAUACCCUGGUAGUCCACGCCGUAAACGAUGAGUGCUAAGUGUUAGGGGGUUUCCGCCCCUUAGUGCUGCAGCUAACGCAUUAAGCACUCCGCCUGGGGAGUACGACCGCAAGGUUGAAACUCAAAGGAAUUGACGGGGACCCGCACAAGCGGUGGAGCAUGUGGUUUAAUUCGAAGCAACGCGAAGAACCUUACCAAAUCUUGACAUCCUUUGACAACUCUAGAGAUAGAGCCUUCCCCUUCGGGGGACAAAGUGACAGGUGGUGCAUGGUUGUCGUCAGCUCGUGUCGUGAGAUGUUGGGUUAAGUCCCGCAACGAGCGCAACCCUUAAGCUUAGUUGCCAUCAUUAAGUUGGGCACUCUAAGUUGACUGCCGGUGACAAACCGGAGGAAGGUGGGGAUGACGUCAAAUCAUCAUGCCCCUUAUGAUUUGGGCUACACACGUGCUACAAUGGACAAUACAAAGGGCAGCGAAACCGCGAGGUCAAGCAAAUCCCAUAAAGUUGUUCUCAGUUCGGAUUGUAGUCUGCAACUCGACUACAUGAAGCUGGAAUCGCUAGUAAUCGUAGAUCAGCAUGCUACGGUGAAUACGUUCCCGGGUCUUGUACACACCGCCCGUCACACCACGAGAGUUUGUAACACCCGAAGCCGGUGGAGUAACCUUUUAGGAGCUAGCCGUCGAAGGUGGGACAAAUGAUUGGGGUGAAGUCGUAACAAGGUAGCCGUAUCGGAAGGUGCGGCUGGAUCACCU
rnacentral:rRNA from 1 species